GAUGAACGCUGGCGGCGUGCCUAAUACAUGCAAGUCGAGCGAACGGACGAGAAGCUUGCUUCUCUGAUGUUAGCGGCGGACGGGUGAGUAACACGUGGAUAACCUACCUAUAAGACUGGGAUAACUUCGGGAAACCGGAGCUAAUACCGGAUGAUAUUUUGAACCGCAUGGUUCAAAAGUGAAAGACGGUCUUGCUGUCACUUAUAGAUGGAUCCGCGCUGCAUUAGCUAGUUGGUAAGGUAACGGCUUACCAAGGCAACGAUGCAUAGCCGACCUGAGAGGGGGACCGCCAACAGGGGAAUGAAGCCCCGGUCACGCCUCCUAGGGGGGGAGGCAGAAGGAAAUCUUCCGCAAGGGGGGAAAGCCUGACGGAGCAAGCCGGGGGGAGGGAGGAGGUUUUUAGGAUCUAAAAACUUUUUUAUUAGGGAAAAAAAUAGUUGUAAGUAACUGUGCACUUCUGGACGUUACCUAACCAAAAACCCACGGCUAACUCCGUG
rnacentral:rRNA from 1 species